UAGAAGCUGUUGUGUUUAUCACUUUGGCUUUUUAUAGUUUGAUAAUUGAACUUGAAAAUGCCAAAAUUCCUUACCGCCUUUUUGCUAGCAUAAUAACAAUAAUAUUGUGUACUUGUUCCAUAAUAACAAUUGUAUUAGUUUGCAACUGGACAGUGAGAGAAGCAGCUGGCGCAGAAAAGCUUUUAAAUAAAAUAAGUGUACAAACUGAUGAAAAUAAUUCCUUUGAAAUGAUUGAGAAUUUUUCUCUACAACUGCAACACCAAAAAUUAUACUUUUCAGUGGGAGGAUUAUUUUCAUUGGAUUCUGAAUUGUUACAAGCGAUCACUGCAACUUUUGCAAUGUAUUUGACCAUAUUAAUUCAAUUCGGAAAAUUGGAAAGCAUUCUCACCAGCAGAAGUUAAUUAUUUCUAUAAUAUUUUUGGAUCAAAUAUCUAAAAUUUACUGAUAUAGUAUAAGUUUUCUAAAUUGUCCAUUUAAUUCUACUGUAAUAAAAAAUAAAAUAAUAAGUA